GGAUGCCAAGGCAGCUCUCCAUAAGGAUAUAUUUCUUAUUAGAAUCCUUGUCCAAAAUUUUUAUGUACUGUAAGUCAGGGUGAACAGCCAAAGCAAGGUUAGAAGGCAAGGUCCAUGGAGUAGUAGUCCAAGCUAAGAAAGAAACUUCAGGAUCACUAAUGGAUUGAAAGGCAACAACAAUAGCCGGAUCUGGGACUUCCUUAUAGUUUUGUUGAGCUUCAAAGUUACUCAAAGGUGUUGUACAUGCAGUCGAGUAAGGCAUAACACGAUAUCCGCGGUAAACUUUUCCUUUUGUAUGCAACUCUUUGAAAACCCACCAAACACUUUCCAUGAAAGAAGGAUACAACGUUUUAUAAUCGUUAUCAAAAUCAAUCCAACGGCCCAGUCUUUCAACUGUUGCACGCCAUUCGGAUGCAUAAGUCAUGACAAUUUUACGACAUUCGGCAUUGUAUUUGUCAAUACCCAUAGCCAUAACAUCAUCACUUCCAGUAAUACCCAACUUUUUGUCGAUUUCAUGCUCAACAGGAAGUCCAUGUGUAUCCCAACCGAAUCUACGCUCGACGUGAUAACCCUUCAAGCAAGCAUAACGGGUGACACUAUCCUUAAUGGUAGAAGCCAAAAGAUGACCAUGAUGAGGACGACCGGUAGCGAAUGGAGGUCCAUCGAAAAAUGUAUAAGUAGGACGACCUUGAGAAAGUUUUAACUGAGUAUGGAACGCAUCGAUUUCGCGCCAAAACUCAACGAUUUUUUCCUCUUCUUUAGGAACGUUAAACGACAUGCUGAAAUACUUUUACGGUAGGCAAAAGAGCUAAUUCAGCAAUGCUUCCGGAAAUCGGUCUUACAAGAAGUUUAGGUGUGGAAGGAGAGGAAUAUGUACACAAAACAAUUUUGUAUUCAGAUUGAUUGCGAUCAA